GGGCGGUUAGCGCAGCGGUAGCGCAUCUCCCUUACACGGAGGUGGUCGCAGGUUCGAAUCCUGCACCGCCCACCA
rnacentral:tRNA from 1 species